UUUUUAACCUCUGGUGAAACUCUUGAUUUGGAUCUAAGUUUUCUUAUUCUUUUGCAGAACGGAAGCAGGGAUUUUAAUCUCAAGGCAAUUGAAGAUCUGCUUUCUGCCGUUUGUGCUGAUAUAAAGGGUCAGAAACCGGAUCAGUGCAUAAAAAACAAAUGGAAUAUAUUCAAGAAGUUUAGGAAGAACUAUUUAUAAUUCUGAUUAUUUAUUUCUUUUUUUCAUAUAGCACUUUUAUUUCUUUAAUUCACUUUGUAAAAUUUGUACUAUUACAUCUUUUUACGAAGUCAAAUAACAUUUUGAAAAGUCAGUCUUGAUAAUGUAAUGACAUGGAUUAUUAAGGUCACAAUUUUAAAGCUUGCUCUUUUAUUUAGAUGAAAGUGAUGCAGUAUAUUUUGCAUCACCUUGUCGUAGAAAUUAUAAAAUAGCUUGCAUGUGUAUAUAGUCUUCUAAAUGAACUUCUGACAUUUUCUUCGGCUUUUAUGCAAGUAUCAAUAGAUAAACAAAAACUUGCACAUUUUAUAAACAUGCACCUCGAGAAAAAUGCUACUUCAAUUUCACAAGCUAAGACGUAAAUAUAAUAUUUUACUUAAAUUUACACUCCAUAAAUUUAUUCAUAUUAAAUGUAUUUCCUUUUUCAAUUUAUAAAAUUUGUAAAGAGGAAAGUAUUUUGUUAUAUUUUGUAAACCUUCUGGGCUCAAUACUGUUUUAAAUGUAUGCUAUUGAUGAUUAAUACUCAUUUGUGUAAAUUUUUGUUUGACUUUGUGAAUAAAGUGAUUGUUAAAUAAA